rnacentral:rRNA from 1 species
UACGUAGGGUGCGAGCGUUGUCCGGAAUUACUGGGCGUAAAGCGCGCGUAGGCGGCCCAGUAAGUCCGUUGUAAAAGUCAAAGGCUCAACCUUUGAAAGCCGAUGGAUACUGCUGGGCUAGAGUCCGGAAGAGGCGAGUGGAAUUCCUGGUGUAGCGGUGGAAUGCGCAGAUAGUCAGGAGGAACACCGAUAGCGAAGGCAGCUCGCUGGGACGGUACUGACGCUGAGGCG